rnacentral:lncRNA from 1 species
CAAUUCUUCAAAGUGCUUGCUUGGAAUGAUACAGAGAGGAUUAGGAAAUACAAAUAGUUUUUUUUUUGUUGUCCCAGGCACUAUGGAGUCAUCUUGAAUUUCAUGUUCUAAACAAACACCCUUGGCCUGGAGGAAUGCACCUGCAUAUCACGACAGGACCUAGUGUCUCAGAUUUAGUCCGGCAGCUUUGAAUUUUGAAAUCCUCUUUGGAGCUUCUUCUGACAUAGCAUCUUUUCUCUCUGGGAAGGUAGGUGACACCUGAAGAACAGAGGCAUGGUGUGGCGUCAGAGAUGGAGGUAAGAAUUAUUUUUCUACCACAAUCCCAGGAAAAAUCACCUAAGGUC